UACAGAGGGGGCAAGCGUUGUUCGGAAUUACUGGGCGUAAAGCGAGUGUAGGCGGUCUCAACAGUCGGGUGUGAAAGCCCCGGGCUCAACCCGGGAAGUGCACUCGAUACUGCGAGGCUAGAGUAUCGGAGAGGUUGGUGGAAUUCUCGGUGUAGAGGUGAAAUUCGUAGAUAUCGAGAGGAACACCGGUGGCGAAGGCGGCCAACUGGACGAAUACUGACGCUGAGACUCGAAAGCGUGGGGAGCAAACAGG
rnacentral:rRNA from 1 species